rnacentral:rRNA from 1 species
CCUACGGGAGGCAGCAGUGGGGAAUAUUGGACAAUGGGGGAAACCCUGAUCCAGCGACGCCGCGUGAGUGAAGAAGUAUUUCGGUACGUAAAGCUCUAUCAGCAGGAAAGAAAAUGACGGUACCUGACUAAGAAGCCCCGGCUAACUACGUGCCAGCAGCCGCGGUAAUACGUAGGGGGCAAGCGUUAUCCGGAUUUACUGGGUGUAAAGGGAGCGUAGACGGCAGCGCAAGUCUGGAGUGAAAUGCCGGGGCCCAACCCCGGAACUGCUCUGGAAACUGUGAAGCUGGAGUGCAGGAGAGGUAAGCGGAAUUCCUGGUGUAGCGGUGAAAUGCGUAGAUAUCAGGAGGAACACCGGCGGCGAAGGCAGCCUACUAAACUGCCACUGACAUUGAUGCUCGAAAGUGUGGGUAUCAAACAGGAUUAGAUACCCGUGUAGUC